UGUUGGUUCUCCCGCAACGCUACUCUGUUCACCAGGUCAGGUCCGGAAGGAAGCAGCCAGGGCAGACGACGUGUGUGCCGGGAUGUAG
rnacentral:SRP_RNA from 1 species